rnacentral:rRNA from 1 species
UACGUAGGGUGCAAGCGUUGUCCGGAUUUAUUGGGCGUAAAGAGCUCGUAGGCGGUCUGUCGCGUCGGAUGUGAAAACCCAGGGCUCAACCCUGGGCCUGCAUUCGAUACGGGCAGACUAGAGUACGGCAGGGGAGACUGGAAUUCCUGGUGUAGCGGUGAAAUGCGCAGAUAUCAGGAGGAACACCGGUGGCGAAGGCGGGUCUCUGGGCCGUAACUGACGCUGAGAAGCGAAAGCAUGGGGAGCGAACAGG